GGAAGCAUUGCUGGGCAACUACUCCUUUGGCAGUCAGCCAUUCAAAUGCAUGUGAUUAACAUCACUUGGAAGCCAAGUAAGCUCACUGCCAAAGGAGAUUUGCCCGGGAAUUCAUCU
rfam:Cephalotus follicularis DNA, scaffold: scaffold36, isolate: St1.